GACGUAGGGCGCGAGCGUUGUCCGGAUUUAUUGGGCGUGACGAGCUCGUAGGCGGCUUGUCGCGUCGACUGUGAAAACCCGCGGCUCAACCGCGGGCCUGCAUUCGAUACGGGCAGGCUAGAGUUCGGUAGGGGAGUGGGGAAUUCCUAGUGUAGCGGUGAAAUGCGCAGAUAUUAGGAGGAACACCGGUGGCGAAGGCGCCACUCUGGGCCGAAACUGACGCUGAGGAGCGAAAGCAUGGGUAGCAAACAGG
rnacentral:rRNA from 1 species